GCUGCAGGGAAACGAAAACGAGCGCAUGAGUCGAGGCCACGGCCACGGCCACGAACAUGGCCAAAGUGGCACACGGCAGGCAGCAAAUACCCAACCAGUGAACUCCACCCACCCAAAGUACUCAUCGCCAGUCGGCACCCAUGCACUCACCCACCCGAUCGCCCAUCCAUCCGGCGAAAACGAGACACAACAGCAACAGCGAUGCUGCAACGAUGCAGGCACAGAAACCGAAACGGGAACUGCCGGAGGUUCAGGAUGCAGGAACUGCAGGGUACUGAGAAAAAUAAUCCACAGCAGACUACAAAAAUGCGAUGAAAAUCUAUAAAGAGAGUCAUAUCAUAGGU
ensembl:ncRNA lncRNA:CR45672 long non-coding RNA:CR45672